rnacentral:rRNA from 1 species
UACGUAGGGGGCAAGCGUUGUCCGGAUUUAUUGGGCGUAAAGAGCGUGUAGGCGGCCACACAGGUCUGCUGUGAAAACUCGAGGCUCAACCUCGAGCUGUCGGUGGAAACCGUGUGGCUAGAGUCCGGAAGAGGAGAGUGGAAUUCCCGGUGUAGCGGUGAAAUGCGCAGAUAUCGGGAAGAACACCCGUGGCGAAGGCGGCUCUCUGGGACGGUACUGACGCUGAGACGCGAAAGCAUGGGUAGCAAACAGG